rnacentral:rRNA from 1 species
CCUACGGGAGGCAGCAGUGAGGAAUAUUGGUCAAUGGACGAGAGUCUGAACCAGCCAAGUCGCGUGAAGGAUGACUGCCCUAUGGGUUGUAAACUUCUUUUAUAUGGGAAUAAAAUGUUCCACGUGUGGGCUUUUGUAUGUACCAUAUGAAUAAGGAUCGGCUAACUCCGUGCCAGCAGCCGCGGUAAUACGGAGGAUCCGAGCGUUAUCCGGAUUUAUUGGGUUUAAAGGGAGCGUAGGGGGAUUGUUAAGUCAGUUGUGAAAGUUUGCGGCUCAACCGUAAAAUUGCAGUUGAAACUGGCAGUCUUGAGUACAGUAGAGGUGGGCGGAAUUCGUGGUGUAGCGGUGAAAUGCUUAGAUAUCACGAAGAACUCCGAUUGCGAAGGCAGCUCACUGGACUGCAACUGACACUGAGGCUCGAAAGUGUGGGUAUCAAACAGGAUUAGAUACCCUUGUAGUC